AUGGGCAGGGAGCUGCCCGCUCCCACCGAGGGGCGGGGCCGCGCCGCCGCCUCCCCGCCCGCCGGCAGGUGGCUGCGGGGCGCUCCCUGCGCCCGUCGGGUGUGCGCGGGGCGGGCCGGCCCCGAGCUGCGGGCGGGUCCCGGGGCGCCGGGAGCGGGGGUGCGGCUGCGUGAGGGGCCGGGGGGGGCAGCGCCGCGCUCCUGCGGAGGGAGCCGGGACGGGCGGCGGCGGGGCGAGGGCUGCCGGAGCCGCGAGGUUCGCCCCCACCGGCCCGGGAGGGCUGCCCCGAUCCAGCGCCCGGCGGGGUGCGGCGGUGCCCGAGUCCCAGUCGUGAAGCAGUCUGUGCUGCGCUGGGGACGAUUUGUUCAGAGCAGACAGGUCCCUGUGAUUAGAAAUGAGCUCGGUUUGGCAGGAAGCACGGAGGAAGGCUGGCAGACAGGCAGCGUGUCCCUUGCAUGCAAGAUUCCUCCAGAAGUAAAGAAGCACUGGUGGAGACAGUGCAACCCCUGGCAAGAAGCAGCAACGCUGUGCGACAAAGGAGGAAGCCACUUCCAGGUUAUGAAAACAUGCUGUUGAACUGAAUUUUGCAGCUGCGUUUUCAAAUGUACCAUGGGAUGCAUCAAAUCCAAAGAUGCCUUUGCAGGGUCAAACGCUAUCCGGGUGGAAGGGAGCAGGGAAGGUGAUGAAGGGCGCACCGGGGAGAAAUCAUCACUGAUAGCAGGGAUGGUGGAUGAGAAGGGUCCGUCGAGCGCCAUAGUGCUGGACUACGCACACCGCCUCUCCCACGAGAUUCUCGAUCAGGCAGUGAAGCAAUGGGCAGUGACAGAGAGCAAAUACAGUGACAUCCCUUUCAUUGAGAGCGAUGUGCCCUGAGCCUGGCCGGCACGGACUGGCUUCAGUGAGCAUCUGUCUGUGAGCAGCUCGUGUUUGGUGCCGGUGCAAGUUGAGUGAAGUCAGCUGUGACCGAGCAGAGUGCUCCUCUGAAUGUGUUUGCAAGGAGAGGCUGGAAAAAAUUGCCUUUUAAUCUUUCUUGCUAGGAAACCCUGUGGAUUACAGUAGAACCUAUUAAUCAAGUGUUGUUUGUUAUCAGCCGUAUGAUGAGUGUUGUCUGUCUUUGUAUGUGUUGAGUGAUCAGAAAUUAGUGUUAAAAAAGAAAAUGGGAAGAACGCAGCUGCCUCGCAACUGUAGGAGCACUGCCACAGAGGCCCCAGAGAUGCUUAAGAACAAAGCAUGGAUUAUAUUUAUGUACUGCAUAAAAAAUAUAUGGCCUGUUUGUAGGUGACGAGGAGAACGGUGUGCUUGGCAAACUUGUCUGUGUUCUGCUGAAGUGAAACCAGGACCUCUAUGUAACCAAGGCAGCUGCUGUUGUAACCUUCACUUUGAUUCUCUGACCCGAGCAGGCCUACAAACCAGAAAAUAACGAAGGUGGUGAGAAGCGUUUUAUAAAACCAAAUAGUAUUCAGGGAACCAUAUGGAUUAUGAUCCUACGCAACUUCCAUUCUUAAUAGAACCAGUGAGAAACACUAUGAUAUUGAUAAAUAGUGCAUUGUAAUUAAGUUAACAGAUGCUCUGGCUUCUGUAAAUGCAUGAAGGCUAUUCUCUAAAAUCUUGCCGUAAGACUUUAAUUACAUUUGAUCGCUGCAUUCAGGCCAAAGCUGUUUGCUUUGCUCUUUUUUUUUUUUUUUUUGGUUAGGGGGCUGCCUUGAUUUCAUGGGACUAUGGCUGCAUUAUGCUCAUUAUGCUGACCUUUCAAUCCAGCAUCACACCCUCAGAACAGCUGGCCUUUGCUUUCCUUCAGGAGCACAUCCCCACGGGUAGAGCCACAUACACCAAAGCACAGCCGAGCUGUGGGAGCCUGAGGCCUGAGCAGAACACUGGGCCGGUGAGCGAGCCUGGGGCUCCAGGCUCUCGGGCUGCUGCAUUCAUCAGCGGUUCUGUUGAGCUCGUAGCCCCACGCUGCAGCCCGCCCCUCCGGGGCCUGGGGCCUGACCUACUGCACUGCUCUCCGGGGUUGGAUUUGGAGGAGGCGGCAAACCGGUCUCCUUAGACCUACCGCUCUGCUGCCGUUUUAGGCAAAGUGAAUGCCUCGUAGGAAGCUUGUGUUUUUUUAGCACCCAUUGGCUCCUUUUCCUGUUAAGGCCAAUGUAUCGGCCAUGUCAUUUUUUUUCCUGCAUCCAAGUGCUUUCCAUUUUAUGUUUUCAUUUUACAGAAAAAAAAAAAAAAACACUUUCCAUACUGGCAAAAACUGUUACUAUUUUUACAAGGUACACAGCGUCCUCGUGACUGAUAGAAGUAUGAUUCUGAAGCGGUGGUAAGCAGCAGCAGGAGGACCAUUUCCAGCGUUAUUUUUAGCUUACUCUCACACGUGAAUUGAGAGGGAACACGGCUGUUUUGCAAACUUUCUGACACAAACUUAAUCACUUGAAAUUCAUCUGGUGGGAAGUGGCUGCGUCUAGAGUGAAUGGUCAGAAAUACUUAUUUGUAGCUCAGCACGUGACUGCCAUUGACUUGCGCUGUCCAGGUGGGGCCCGGCCGCUGGGCUGUCCUCAGGCUGGGGCUGAAAAAGGGAAAAAAUCGGCUUCUGUUGUAAUGGCAUCUCUGAAGUCACAGGUGAAGCGGCUGAAGGUAUCCUGCUUGUUUGAAUUCUGCUGCUGGCGGUGCUGCCCCUUUAAGCACUAAUGCGUGGAAAUAUUACUUACAUUUGCCGUAUCUGAAAAACUCCAUGCCAAAUGCAAGGGUGAACAGAAAUGCAAAACCAGAAAAGGAGCAGAAAUAAAAGGGAAAGCAGCCUGAAGUACA
rnacentral:lncRNA from 1 species